rnacentral:rRNA from 1 species
UAUAAUUUCCAAUUCAGGGAAUUUUAGCGAUGAAUGCCUCGGCUCG